rnacentral:rRNA from 2 species
CGAGAAAACUUUGCAAUGUGCGAAAGCACGACAAGGUUAAUCCGAGUGAUUCCUGCUAAAGGAAUCUUUUGUUAGUCGUAAAACCACUGAUGAAUAAGGGGUGGGCAAGUUCUGGUGUCAGCCGCCGCGGUAAAACCAGCACCUCAAGUGGUCAGGAGGAUUAUUGGGCCUAAAGCAUCCGUAGCCUGCUCUGUAAGUUUCCGGUUAAAUCCAUUCGCUCAACUGAUGGGCUGCCGGAAAAACUGCAAAGCUAGGGAGUGGGAGAGGUAGACGGUACUCGGUAGGAAGGGGUAAAAUCCUUUGAUCUAUUGAUGACCACCUGUGGCGAAGGCGGUCUACCAGAACACGUUCGACGGUGAGGGAUGAAAGC